UAAAUCGCAACUAAGAGAAACAGGUCGCCAAUUGCUGGAUCUCGUUUUAAGUUUGGGACCUGACUGCGAUUCUGUUUUUAGGAGUUUUCAAGACUGUGAUGUCCUCAUUUUGUUUGGUCUCUGGUUUGCUGUCGUGUUUCUAAGGUUUAGUGGUUUUUUGGUUGAGGGAUAGUUAUUUUCCUUCUAGGUGGAGCGGUACUUGUGUGUAAAAGAUGAAUCAGGCAGCAAUGAGAAGCACAGAGUGAGCAUGUCAUUUGAAUUAUGCAGUUCAAAUUGGUUGGAACUCAUCAUCGUUACUAGUAGUGGGGCGAUGCUUUUUGUUAGUGGUCUUGAGUUUCUCUCAUAUGAGAUCUAUAUUUUUGCUGUUUCCAAAAAAAAAAGUAAGAAAAAAAAAUCCAGAUCUGAUUUGGUUUCAAACUUGAAUUUUGUUGUAAAUCUGAAAAUAUUGAAGUUGCAAAUCUUAA
rnacentral:lncRNA from 1 species